UUGUCUCAUAUCUUCAGAAUGUUGUAGGACCUUGAAUCCUACUAGAGAAAUGUCCAGCCCGAAAG
rnacentral:lncRNA from 1 species